rnacentral:rRNA from 1 species
GACGAACUGUGCAAACGUUAUUCGGAAUCACUGGGCUUGAAGAGUGCGUAGGCGGUUUCGUAAGUAGGGUGUGAAAGCCCCCAGCUCAACUGGGGAGCUGCGUCCUAAACUGCGUGGCUGGAGUGAGGUAGGGGUGUGUGGAACUUCCGGUGGAGCGGUGAAAUGUGUUGAUAUCGGAAGGAACGCCGGUGGCGAAAGCGACACACUGGGCCUUGUCUGACGCUGAGGCACGAAAGCCAGGGGAGCAAACGGG